GACGAACGCUGGCGGCGUGCCUAAUACAUGCAAGUCGAGCGAAUCUUGAGGUGCUUGCACCUCUUGGUUAGCGGCGGACGGGUGAGUAACACGUGGGCAACCUGCCUGUAAGACUGGGAUAACUUCGGGGAACCGGAGCUAAUACCGGAUAAUCCUUUUCCUCUCAUGAGGAAAAGCUGAAAGUCGGUUUACGCUGACACUUACAGAUGGGCCCGCGGCGCAUUAGCUAGUUGGUGAGGUAACGGCUCACCAAGGCGACGAUGCGUAGCCGACCUGAGAGGGUGAUCGGCCACACUGGGGCUGAAAAACGGCCCAAACUCCCCCGCUGGCGAAAGUAGGGAAUCUUACCCAUUGAAAGAGGGUAAAACGGAGCAACCCCCCCUGAGCGACGAAGGAAUUCCGGUCGUAAAGCUCUGUUGAUAGGGAAGAACAAGUAUCGGAGUAACUGCCGGUACCCUGACGGUACCUAACCAGAAAGCCACGGCUAACUACGUGCCACCAGCCGCGGUAAUACGUAGGUGGCAAGCGUUGUCCGGAAUUAUUGGGCGUAAAGCGCGCGCAGGCGGUCCUUUAAGUCUGAUGUGAAAGCCCACGGCUCAACCGUGGAGGGUCAUUGGAAACUGGGGGACUUGAGUACAGAAGAGGAAAGCGGAAUUUCCACGUGUAGCGGUGAAAUGCGUAGAGAUG
rnacentral:rRNA from 1 species